AUGCGCCAUGCCGCGUGUGUGAAGAAGGCCUUCGGGUUGUAAAGCACUUUCAGUCGUGAGGAAGGUGGUGGUGUUAAUAGCACUAUCAUUUGACGUUAGCGACAGAAGAAGCACCGGCUAACUCCGUGCCAGCAGCCGCGGUAAUACGGAGGGUGCGAGCGUUAAUCGGAAUUACUGGGCGUAAAGCGCAUGCAGGUGGUUUGUUAAGUCAGAUGUGAAAGCCCGGGGCUCAACCUCGGAAUAGCAUUUGAAACUGGCAGACUAGAGUACUGUAGAGGGGGGUAGAAUUUCAGGUGUAGCGGUGAAAUGCGUAGAGAUCUGAAGGAAUACCGGUGGCGAAGGCGGCCCCCUGGACAGAUACUGACACUCAGAUGCGAAAGCGUGGGGAGCAAACAGGAUUAGAUACCCUGGUAGUCCACGCCGUAAACGAUGUCUACUUGGAGGUUGUGGCCUUGAGCCGUGGCUUUCGGAGCUAACGCGUUAAGUAGACCGCCUGGGGAGUACGGUCGCAAGAUUAAAACUCAAAUGAAUUGACGGGGGCCCGCACAAGCGGUGGAGCAUGUGGUUUAAUUCGAUGCAACGCGAAGAACCUUACCUACUCUUGACAUCCAGAGAACUUUUCAGAGAUGAAUUGGUGCCUUCGGGAACUCUGAGACAGGUGCUGCAUGGCUGUCGUCAGCUCGUGUUGUGAAAUGUUGGGUUAAGUCCCGCAACGAGCGCAACCCUUAUCCUUGUUUGCCAGCGAGUAAUGUCGGGAACUCCAGGGAGACUGCCGGUGAUAAACCGGAGGAAGGUGGGGACGACGUCAAGUCAUCAUGGCCCUUACGAGUAGGGCUACACACGUGCUACAAUGGCGCAUACAGAGGGCAGCAAGCUAGCGAUAGUGAGCGAAUCCCAAAAAGUGCGUCGUAGUCCGGAUUGGAGUCUGCAACUCGACUCCAUGAAGUCGGAAUCGCUAGUAAUCGUGGAUCAGAAUGCCACGGUGAAUACGUUCCCGGGCCUUGUACACACCGCCCGUCACACCAUGGGAAGUGGGCUGCAAAAGAAGUAGGUAGUUUAACCUUCGGGAGGACGCUUACCACUUUGUGGUUCAUGACUGGGGUGAAUCGU
rnacentral:rRNA from 1 species